AGCGAACGUUUGCGGCGGGCCUAACACAUGCAAGUCGAACGCACUAGCAAUAGUGAGUGGCGCACGGGUGCGUAACACGUGGGUAAUCAACCCUUCAGCCUGGGAUAACGACUCGAAAGGGUCGCUAAUACCGGAUACGGCGCGAGAGGCUUCGGCUUCUCACGAGAAAGCCACGCAAGGGGCACUGAAGGACGAGCCUGCGGCCCAUCAGCUAGUUGGUGAGGUAAGAGCUCACCAAGGCUAAGACGGGUAGCUGGUCUGAGAGGAUGAUCAGCCACACUGGAACUGAGACACGGUCCAGACUCCUACGGGAGGCAGCAGUGGGGAAUAUUGGUCAAUGGAGGCAACUCUGAACCAGCCAUGCCGCGUGUAGGAAGAAUGCCCUAUGGGUUGUAAACUACUUUUAUUGGGGAAGAAACCCUUCUACGUGUAGAAGGCUGACGGUACCCAAGGAAUAAGGACCGGCUAACUCCGUGCCAGCAGCCGCGGUAAUGUACAGUG
rnacentral:rRNA from 1 species